ensembl:lncRNA
GGACAGCACCACCUAGUGGGAACAGGAAAUGUCAUGUUUUACACUUUGGUGUACAGUAUUGUUAUGGUUGACAUCUGCAGCCUCAAAUUUCUCCAGGAAAGCCUUAAGGAGUUGGUCUUGGGUUACAGUGAAAACUGUGAGUUUUCGCGAAAGGGUGUGACCCCAGCAGCAUGGCGAUUAUUGAUGUCUCGCCAUUAAGAAACAAAUUAGUAUAACUCAAUGACAUCUAGUCUGAUCAGUACCAGACUUUACAGGAAUGAUGUCAGACCCGCCCUGAACAGAUUGAUGUGCCCAUUGUCAGGAAUACGUAGAGCGCCACCUAGUGGCAACAGGAAAUGUCAUGUCUUACAUUUUGUUGUACUGAUUUUCACAGGUUCAUCGUGGCCACCUCAAAAGCGGUGAAUAUCACCAUCAGUCCCUCAUGAUGCUUCAGUGAGAAAAUUGUGACUUUUAACUGAACGGCGCACCCUAGUGGCAACUCGGUUCACCAUGAACAAUAAAGUGGCUUUUGAGGGGCUUGGAAAGUUUAAAAAGUCUUGAAAUUGGGCGCACACCUCCAAUGUGAUGAGCGCUAUCUUGUUACGGGAUCAUUUUCAUUAAAUGGCACAAAAUGGCUCCACAGCGCCCCCUACAAAAUUUCAAAACAUCAGCCCCUGCUCUGUGUUUUAUCUAUGAGUCUGAAAUCUGGCAAGCUUAUGUAAGAUAUCAAGAUGUACAAAAAAGUCUCUUGGAGCAAUAUCCCAAAUCCAACAUCAAGUCAGCCAUUUUAAAAUGAAUGUGUAAUUUUGGCGACAUUUUCCCCUCUUUUCAGGCACCGUUCUGUGACAAACACCUCCGAGGGAUUUCAUCAGAUUGACACGAUCUCCUGUGUGUGGAAUCUAAAGACCUUUGUGAUGUUAAAUCGCGAAGCUUUUUACGUUCAGGGAAACGGGGUGGUCGUGGCGGCACGUGGAGUUUCAAUCACUCGCCAAAACACAGUAAUCUGCUGUCACUCAAAAACACAAUGUCCAAUCUCUCCCAAAG